CUGAGCUGCAGUAGGAAUAAAGCCAAUUGGACAACCACACUGAGUCCAGUAGCAGUAUGGUUUUCUCACUACCACUACAAGGCCAGGAGGCCUUGGGCAAAUUAGCAUAGGUGUGCAGCAGAGAAAAUUGACUGUAGUGGCUACUAAGGGGUAAGGAAGGACAGAAUGAGAACUAUGGAAGAUCAGAGGCAGGGAUUGAUUCUAUGACAGGAGCAAGUGAAAUAUUGAAGAGGCUAACUACAAGUUCAAGGCUGGUCCUUAGAGGGAGUUGGGAAAAAGAGUGAGGAAGAAGACAGGAGUUCCAAAGCAUUACUGUUGCUGGAUAAUUCUUUAGUGAACAACAAAGUUAUUCCCUCUGAACCAUCAAGAAAUGGAAUAACUCGCUAAGAGGAAAUAUCAUGCUAUUUUCUGGGCAUAUUGCUGAAAGAUGAAAUGCACAUAUGAUAUUAGAGAAAGUGAGCCUCAACAUGGAAAUGGAAUACAAAUCAAAACAUAAAUAGGAAAAAUAAAAUUGUAUUUGAGAAAGGAGAGCAAAAUGAAAGGCAUAAAAUACAAAUGGAAUAACUA